rnacentral:lncRNA from 1 species
UAGCAUAAAUAAAUAUUGAGUUAAAUUUUGAAAGAUUAAAAAGGUAAUUACAUAAUUAAAAUUUAAUUCAAUAAGUCCCAAAUAAUCCAACACACAUUUUGUCUAAAAAAAACUAAACUAAGUAAUUAUAGUGAAAAAUUGCUACAGAUGGAAAUAGGUUCCUAAUAACCAAAACCAAGCAAUUAGGGUGAAAUCACUUUGGACUUAGUCAUGAAAACAUGUUGUCUUGAUGCUUGGAGCGGCCACCUUCCAUUCCAGCAGGUCAUUUCAGAGUUGUAAUCUACGGAGAACAAAAAUAGCUUAUUUUAAAAGCACUUUUUAGAAGCGCUUAAGAAAUUGCAAAACAACAAAAUAAAUCACUCAGAUUAAAGCUUUAUCCAUAAGGUUAACCUAAACAUCCAAAAAGCACUUUUAAUAUUAGCUUAAAACAGAACAAAUUAACAGAGAUGAAAUCCCACAUAAUCUGGGAUGGGAAAUUCAAGAAAGGAAGGAUUUUCUUAAGACUUUUCUUUUCUUAAAAAAUGAUUCAUGAGAGGUUAAUAAGAACAGACAGUAAGAGAUUUCUUUUCAAAAAAAGCCAAAACCACAAACAACAAUAAAAAAAACAACUUUUUCUCAAAAAAAGCCUAAAGAACAACAGCAUAAACAUCACGAACAACAUAACAAUAUUUCAUAAAACAUCUGAUCACGCACCGUUACUCUGCUGGAAUUUCACUCACACCCAAUCACCAAAGCUCAAAUACUCCCAAAGUUUACUCAGAGUUCAUCAUUAGAACUUUGAGAAAACUGAACUAAGCCACAGUCAAACCAAGACAAACCGAUUCAAAGAAGUUAGAAGAAGAAUAGGACUCCAGAAAACAGAACGGAAGCAACAUACCUCAAGGUCAGAUCUCACUGCCGGUAACCUUGCCGGAAACUUCGUUUUCCGACGAGCUUUGUUUCAUCUCAUUUUCCCCACUAUACAUGUAUUUCAUCGCAUGUGUGUUACCUCGUCUUAAUAUUCACUAUAUUGCCUUGAAUCAUCUGAAGUUUUGCUGUUUUAGGUUGGUUAAGAUUUAGUCAAAUUUGUGUAGAUCUAUUGUAUUUGAAUGAUUCUGUGUUAGAAUCAAUAAGGGAAUUUGGAUUCAGAACAAAAAUCGGAUUGUAUCUUCAUGUUAUGUUGUGUUUGAGAGUGAAAGAAACAGAGGUGUCUUUUCCCCCAGUAACACAAUCUGACCUCUCUAAGAGAACUGAGUGAGAGAACCAAUCUGGAAAAAAAGGAGAGUAAAUAUGCGAGAUUUUUGGGAAAAGAAUUUAUUCCUACUAUCAUUUAUUCUGGCCAUUUUCAGUUUCAUAUCAAUUAAUAUUUAAAUCAAAACAUUUCUUUUUUUAAAAAUAAAAUCGAAGAGAAAGGAGGUAGGAUGAUUGGACCGAAUAUUUCGGUUUUGAGAAGAGAGGCUCUUAAGUGCUGAAUAUUAUCUCAGUCAAAGCAAUUUAAUUCAUUUAUUACUAUUACUGUCAUUUCCGAAAAUUAAGAUGAGAGAGAAUUGAGUUGUUUUGGAUUUUUGAGCAGAGUAGGUAGAUUAUCCCUUUCCAUACGCAGAAGACAUGCGGUCCCAAUGUGAUUGUAUGAUUUAAUCUACUUUUUAAUUUUUCAUCAUUAUUAGCAUUUAUUUUGGCUUACACCUACCUAGGAAUAGUCUGCUCCUCUUCUAUUUUUAUGUGAUAAGUCACUUCAAUUUUUUUUCCUGAUUUUCUCUUUCCGAAAUCAUAUAGCAGUAUUCAAAAGAAGUAUGAAAGUUUAAUUCAUAUCAUAGCAUUAUUAUGCCUAAGAUAGUAUUCAACAAACAUCUCUUUGGUUU